UGGUGUGCCGCUGGUUAAGAUUCGGAGGGGAAAACUACUUGCGGAGCUUGAUCGCGUCUCGACGAAAAUAUUCAGGUGCAGCGCUGCAGCACGUCGCCUCCAUGUAGGAUGUAGUGUCUGUUUGUGUAGGUGUGCACUGGAGCUGCUGCUGACUUUCACUGCCGGUGAACAAAUGCCAUUGUCGACGCAGGUGCCGAUUACCGCGAAAGUAAUUGACGGGAUCUGCUGGGCGUAUGGGAGUGCUCACAGUUCCUGGAUCCUACCAAUCCAUGUUUAUAUCACUACUUCUUGCAUGAAUUAAUAAAGCAUUUUAUUCAUCUUACAGAACAUUGUAUUGCCCCAGAAGAGUGUGCAGCAACGGCGAAAAUCUUACUGAGACCUUUGCACUUUGCCAUGGGACCUGCACGUUCUGCUAUGGGACUUAUUCUGCUAUUAAAGCAGUACAUUUUGUAUAGGAAGAUUAUAAAUUAAAUUUCUACUGCGUG